UACCCUGGUAGUCCCACGCCGUAAACGAUGUGUACUAGCCGUUGGGGUACUUGAGACCUUAGUGGCGCAGNUAACGCACUAAGUAGCCCGCCUGGGGAGUACGGCCGCAAGGUUAAAACUCAAAUGAAUUUGACGGGGGCCCGCACAAGCGGUGGAGCAUGUGGUUUAAUUCGAUGCAACGCGAAGAACCUUACCAGGUCUUGACAUCCUCGGAACUUUCCAGAGAUGGAUUGGUGCCUUCGGGAACCGAGAGACAGGUGCUGCAUGGCUGUCGUCAGCUCGUGUCGUGAGAUGUUGGGUUAAGUCCCGUAACGAGCGCAACCCCUGUCCCUAGUUGCCAGCACGUUAUGGUGGGAACUCUAGGGAGACUGACGGUGACAAACCGUAGGAAGGUGGGGACGACGUCAAGUCAUCAUGGCCCUUACGAC
rnacentral:rRNA from 1 species